rnacentral:lncRNA from 1 species
UUGAAAAGUGCAUUGGUGGAGGCGAGAACUGACCUUGCUUGUGACCGGCACCUUUUUCGGAAUAAUGCAGAGGGAGAAAUUGUUCCAAGAGAGAGAGAAGAGUGAGAAACUUUGCAAGAAUGAAGGAGCGAGAGAGAACCUAUCGAAAUCCUAACACAAUCACCUUCUUUUUCUUCUUCCUUUCCGAUGCAAUCACCAGAAACCACCGCCG